rnacentral:rRNA from 1 species
GCUUUAACGGCCGCAGUACNCUGACUGUGCAAAGGUAGCAUAAUAAUUUGUUCUUUAAUUAAGGACUGGAAUGAAGGGCGUUAUGGGGAUUAGCUGUCUUGUGGUAAAUUUUUAAAACUUAUUAAAAGGGUGAAAAUUCCCUUACUUUAUUAUAUAAGACGAGAAGACCCUUAGAAUUAUUAACCAGAUAUUUAUAAAUCAUAUCGUAGGUUUUUGUUGGGGCAACAAUUACCUUUUAAACGGUUAAAAUUAAAUAUGACUAGUAUUUAAAUAAACAGAAAGAUCUUAAUUACCUGAGGGAUAACAGCAUAAUUAAUUUAUUAGAUUGUGACCUCGAUGUUGGACUAGGGCCUUUCUUUAUUAGAGGUAAA